UACGUAGGGAGCAAGCGUUGUCCGGAAUCAUUGGGCGUAAAGCGCGCGUAGGUGGCUUCGUAAGUCCGUUGUGAAAGUCAAAGGCUCAACCUUUGAAAGCCGAUGGAUACUGUGAAGCUAGAGUACGGAAGAGGCGAGUGGAAUUCCUGGUGUAGCGGUGGAAUGCGCAGAUAUCAGGAGGAACACCAAUGGCGAAGGCAGCUCGCUGGGACGUUACUGACACUGAGGCGCGAAAGCGUGGGGAGCGAACAGG
rnacentral:rRNA from 1 species